rnacentral:rRNA from 1 species
AGUACAAUUUAAACCCCUUAACGAGGAUCAAUUAGAGGGCAAGUCUGGUGCCAGCAGCCGCGGUAAUUCCAGCUCUAAUAGCGUAUAUUAAAGUUGUUGCGGUUAAAAAGCUCGUAGUUGGAUUUCGGGACUCGUACCUACGGUCCGGCGUAAGCCGCGAACUGGAGGUUGGGCCCUUCUGUCUGGAGACGGGGGACUUCCUCUUAGUUGAGGGGUCCUCGGUAUCUAGGACUUUUACUUUGAACAAAUUAGAGCGUUUAAAGCAGGCAAUCGCCUGAAUACAUUAGCAUGGAAUAACCGAAUAGGACUUUGGUUCUAUUUUGUUGGUUUUAAGGACCAAAGUAAUGAUUAAUAGGGAUAGUUGGGGGCAUUAAUAUUUAAUUGUCAGAGGUGAAAUUCUUAGAUUUAUGAAAGAUUAACUUCUGCGAAAGCAUUUGCCAAGGAUGUUUUCAUUAAUCAAGAACGAAAGUUAGGGGAUCGAAGACGAUCAGAUACCGUCGUAGUCUUAACCAUAAACUAUGCCGACUAGGGAUUGGAAGAUGUUAUUUUCAUGACUCCUUCAGCACCUUAUGAGAAAUCAAAGUCUUUGGGUUCCGGGGGGAGUAUGGUCGCAAGGCUGAAACUUAAAGGAAUUGACGGAAGGGCACCACCAGGAGUGGAGCCUGCGGCUUAAUUUGACACAACACGGGAAAACUUACCAGGUCCAGACAUAGUAAGGAUUGACAGAUUGAGAGCUCUUUCUUGAUUCUAUGGGUGGUGGUGCAUGGCCGUUCUUAGUUGGUGGAGUGAUUUGUCUGCUUAAUUGCGAUAACGAACGAGACCUUAACCUGCUAAAUAGUUACGCUAACCUUUGGUUUGCGGAUAACUUCUUAGAGGGACUUUUGUGUGUUUUAACCAAAGGAAGUUUGAGGCAAUAACAGGUCUGUGAUGCCCUUAGAUGUUCUGGGCCGCACGCGCGCUACACUGACGAAUUCAACGAGUCUAUAACCUUGGCCGGCAGGUCUGGGUAAUCUUUUAAAGUUCGUCGUGCUGGGGAUUGCACUUUGUAAUUAUGGUGCAUGAACGAGGAAUUCCUAGUAGACGCAAGUCAUCAGCUUGCAUCGAUUACGUCCCUGCCCUUUGUACACACCGCCCGUCGCUCCUACCGAUUGAAUGACCCGGUGAGGCUUUCGGACUGGUUAUGUUGUUUUGGCAACAGAACACGUUUCCGGGAAGAUAUCCUAACCUUGCCAUUUAGAGGAAGGAGAAGUCGUAACAAGGU